rnacentral:rRNA from 1 species
UACAGAGGGUGCAAGCGUUGUUCGGAAUUAUUGGGCGUAAAGGGCGCGUAGGCGGCUGCACAAGUCAAGGGUGAAAUCCCUCGGCUCAACUGAGGAACUGCCUUUGAAACUGUGCGGCUUGAGGCCGGGAGGGGGUAGCGGAAUUCCCAGUGUAGCGGUGAAAUGCGUAGAUAUUGGGAGGAACACCAGUGGCGAAGGCGGCUACCUGGACCGGUUCUGACGCUGAGGCGCGAAAGCGUGGGUAGCAAACAGG